UGACGGCCAUGUCACGUCGAAACAUCGGUUCCCCCCCCCGUACUGAAGUUAAGCAACGUCGAGCUUGGUCAGUACCUAGAUGGGUGACCGCUUGAGAAUACCAGGUGCUU